rnacentral:rRNA from 1 species
GCUAGUUGGAGGUGUAACGGACCACCAAGGCGACGAUCAGUAGGGGUUCUGAGAGGAAGGUCCCCCACACUGGCACUGAGAUACGGGCCAGACUCCUACGGGAGGCAGCAGUAGGGAAUAUUGGGCAAUGGACGAGAGUCUGACCCAGCCAUGCCGCGUGCAGGAAGACGGCGUUCUGCGUUGUAAACUGCUUUUAUCU